GACGGGAGAUGCAAGCGUUAUCCGGAAUCACUGGGCGUAAAGCGUCUGUAGGUGGUGAUGCAAGUCACUGGUGCAAAACUCUGGCUCAACCGGAGGAAAGCCAGUGAAACUGCAUGACUAGAGUGUGGGAGAGGUAGAAGGAAUUCCCUGAGUAGCGGUGAAGUGCGUAGAUACAGGGAAGAACACCGGAGGCGAAAGCGUUCUACUGGAACACAACUGACGCUGAGAGACGAAAGCUAGGGGAGCGAAUGGG
rnacentral:rRNA from 1 species